rnacentral:rRNA from 1 species
UACGAAGGGGGCUAGCGUUGCUCGGAAUGACUGGGCGUAAAGGGCGCGUAGGCGGUCUUGUCAGUCCCUUGUGAAAUCCCCCGGCUCAACUGGGGAACUGCAAGGGAAACAGCAGGGCUUGAGUUCGGGAGAGGGAAGCGGAAUUCCGGGUGUAGCGGUGAAAUGCGUAGAUAUCCGGAGGAACACCGGUGGCGAAGGCGGCUUCCUGGACCGACACUGACGCUGAGGCGCGAAAGCUAGGGGAGCAAACGGG